rnacentral:rRNA from 1 species
GAUGAGCGCUGGCGGCGUGCCUAAUACAUGCAAGUCGAGCGAACAGACGAGGAGCUUGCUCCUCUGACGUUAGCGGCGGACGGGUGAGUAACACGUGGAUAACCUACCUAUAAGACUGGGAUAACUUCGGGAAACCGGAGCUAAUACCGGAUAAUAUAUUGGACCGCAUGGUUCAAUAGUGAAAGACGGUUUUGCUGUCACUUAUAGAUGGAUCCGCGCCGCAUUAGCUAGUUGGUAAGGUAACGGCUUACCAAGGCAACGAUGCGUAGCCGACCUGAGAGGGUGAUCGGCCACACUGGAACUGAGACACGGUCCAGACUCCUACGGGAGGCAGCAGUAGGGAAUCUUCCGCAAUGGGCGAAAGCCUGACGAAGCAACGCCGCGUGAGUGAUGAAGGUCUUCGGAUCGUAGAACUCUGUUAUUAGGGAAGAACAAAUGUGUAAGUAACUAUGCACGUCUUGACGGUACCUAAUCAGAAAGCCACGGCUAACUACGUGCCAGCCGCCGCAGUAA